rnacentral:tRNA from 1 species
GGGGUUGUGGCUCAGUGGUUGAGCACUCACCUAGCAUGUGUGAGACCCUGGGUUCAAUCCUCAGCACCGCA